AUUGAACGCUGGCGGCAGGCUUAACACAUGCAAGUCGAGCGGGGUGAUGGUGCUUGCACUAUCACUUAGCGGCGGACGGGUGAGUAAUGCUUAGGAAUCUGCCUAUUAGUGGGGGACAACAUCUCGAAAGGGAUGCUAAUACCGCAUACGUCCUACGGGAGAAGGCAGGGGAUCACUUGUGACCUUGCGCUAAUAGAUGAGCCUAGGUCGGAUUAGCUAGUUGGUGGGGUAAAGGCCUACCAAGGCGACGAUCUGUAGCGGGUCUGAGAGGAUGAUCCGCCACACUGGGACGGAGACACGGCCCAGACUCCGACGGGAGGCAGCAGUGGGGAAUAUUGGACAAUGGGGGAACCCUGAUCCAGCCAUGCCGCGUGUGUGAAGAAGGCCUUAUGGUGGUAAAGCACUUUAAGCGAGGAGGAGGCUCUUUUGGUUAAUACCCAGAAUGAGUGGACGUUACUCGCAGAAUAAGCACCGGCUAACUCUGUGCCAGCAGCCGCGGUAA
rnacentral:rRNA from 1 species